rnacentral:rRNA from 1 species
GUACUGAAGGAGGAUUUAGUAGUAAGUGGUAACUAGAGUGUACCACUGAAUUGGGCCCUAAAGAACGCACACACCGCCCGUCACUCUCCCCUAAAAUCAACAACUCAAAUAAAUAAUCAACCAACAACCAAAACGGGGAGGUAAGUCGUAACAUGGUAAGUGUACCUGAAGGUGCACUUGGAACAA